GAUGAACGCUGACAGAAUGCUUAACACAUGCAAGUCAACUUGAACUUCGGUUUGGGUGGCGGACGGGUGAGUAAUGCGUAAAGAACUUGCCUCACAGAUAGGGACAACAUUUGGAAACGAAUGCUAAUACCUGAUAUUAUGAUUAUAUGGCAUCGUAUAAUUAUGAAAGCUAUAUGCGCUGUGAGAGAGCUUUGCGUCCCAUUAGCUAGUUGGAGAGGUAACGGCUCACCAAGGCGAUGAUGGGUAGCCGGCCUGAGAGGGUGAUCGGCCACAAGGGGACUGAGACACGGCCCUUACUCCUACGGGAGGCAGCAGUGGGGAAUAUUGGACAAUGGACCAAGAGUCUGAUCCAGCAAUUCUGUGUGCACGAUGAAGUUUUUCGGAAUGUAAAGUGCUUUCAGUUGGGAAGAAAAAAAUGACGGUACCAACAGAAGAAGUGACGGCUAAAUACGUG
rnacentral:rRNA from 1 species